rnacentral:rRNA from 1 species
GGGGAAUAUUGCACAAUGGGCGAAAGCCUGAUGCAGCGACGCCGCGUGAGGGAUGACGGCCUUCGGGUUGUAAACCUCUUUCAGUAGGGAAGAAGCGAAAGUGACGGUACCUGCAGAAGAAGCGCCGGCUAACUACGUGCCAGCAGCCGCGGUAAUACGUAGGGCGCAAGCGUUGUCCGGAAUUAUUGGGCGUAAAGAGCUCGUAGGUGGCUUGUCGCGUCUGCCGUGAAAACCCGAGGCUCAACCUCGGGCGUGCGGUGGGUACGGGCAGGCUAGAGUGUGGUAGGGGAGACUGGAACUCCUGGUGUAGCGGUGAAAUGCGCAGAUAUCAGGAAGAACACCGAUGGCGAAGGCAGGUCUCUGGGCCAUUACUGACACUGAGGAGCGAAAGCAUGGGUAGCGAACAGGAUUAGAUACCCUGGUAGUCCAUGCCGUAAACGUUGGGCACUAGAUGUGGGGGACAUUCCACGUUUUCCGCGUCGUAGCUAACGCAUUAAGUGCCCCGCCUGGGGAGUACGGCCGCAAGGCUAAAACUCAAAGGAAUUGACGGGGGCCCGCACAAGCGGCGGAGCAUGCUGAUUAAUUCGAUGCAACGCGAAGAACCUUACCAAGGCUUGACAUGCACCGGGCGACUGCAGAGAUGUGGUUUUCUUCGGACUGGUGCACAGGUGGUGCAUGGUUGUCGUCAGCUCGUGUCGUGAGA